rnacentral:rRNA from 1 species
AACCUCCGCAAUGUGAGAAAUCGCGACGGGGGGAUCCCAAGUGCCAUUCUUAACGGGAUGGCUUUUCAUUAGUGUAAAGAGCUUUUGGAAUAAGAGCUGGGCAAGACCGGUGCCAGCCGCCGCGGUAACACCGGCAGCUCUAGUGGUAACAAUUUUUAUUGGGCCUAAAGCGUCCGUAGCCGGUUUAAUAAGUCUCUGGUGAAAUCCUGUAGCCUAACUGUGGGAAUUGCUGGAGAUACUAUUAGACUUGAGACCGGGAGAGGUUAGAGGUACUCCCAGGGUAGAGGUGAAAUUCUGUAAUCCUGGGAGGACCGCCUGUUGCGAAGGCGUCUAACUGGAACGGUUCUGACGGUGAGGGACGAAAGUUAGGGGCGCGAACCGGAUUAGAUACCCGGGUAGUCCUAACUGUAAACGAUGCGGACUUGGUGUUGGGGUGGCUUUGAGCUGCUCCAGUGCCGAAGGGAAGCUGUUAAGUCCGCCGCCUGGGAAGUACGGUCGCAAGACUGAAACUUAAAGGAAUU